rnacentral:rRNA from 1 species
GGGAGGCAGCAGUAAGGAAUAUUGGUCAAUGGGCGCAAGCCUGAACCAGCCAUGCCGCGUGCAGGAAGACGGCCCUACGGGUUGUAAACUGCUUUUGUACCGGAAUAAACCUUUUCACGUGUGAGAAGCUGAAUGUACGGUAAGAAUAAGGAUCGGCUAACUCCGUGCCAGCAGCCGCGGUAAUACGGAGGAUCCAAGCGUUAUCCGGAUUUAUUGGGUUUAAAGGGUGCGUAGGCGGUUCUUUAAGUCAGGGGUGAAAGACGGUAGCUUAACUAUCGCAGUGCCUUUGAUACUGAAGAACUUGAAUACACUUGAGGUAGGCGGAAUGUGACAAGUAGCGGUGAAAUGCAUAGAUAUGUCACAGAACACCAAUUGCGAAGGCAGCUUACUAAAGUGUCAUUGACGCUGAGGCACGAAAGCGUGGGGAUCAAACAGGAUUAGAUACCCUGGUAGUCCACGCCCUAAACGAUGAAUACUCGAUGUUGGCGAUAUACGGUCAGCGUCUAAGCGAAAGCGUUAAGUAUUCCACCUGGGGAGUACGCCC